rnacentral:rRNA from 1 species
UACGUAGGGUGCGAGCGUUAAUCGGAAUUACUGGGCGUAAAGCGUGCGCAGGCGGUGCUGUAAGACCGAUGUGAAAUCCCCGGGCUUAACCUGGGAACUGCAUUGGUGACUGCAGCGCUGGAGUAUGGCAGAGGGGGGUGGAAUUCCACGUGUAGCAGUGAAAUGCGUAGAGAUGUGGAGGAACACCGAUGGCGAAGGCAGCCUCCUGGGCCAAUACUGACGCUCAUGCACGAAAGCGUGGGGAGCAAACAGG